GAUGAACGCUGGCGGCGUGCCUAAUACAUGCAAGUCGAGCGAACAGACGAGGAGCUUGCUCCUCUGACGUUAGCGGCGGACGGGUGAGUAACACGUGGAUAACCUACCUAUAAGACUGGGAUAACUUCGGGAAACCGGAGCUAAUACCGGAUAAUAUAUUGAACCGCAUGGUUCAAUAGUGAAAGACGGUUUUGCUGUCACUUAUAGAUGGAUCCGCGCCGCAUUAGCUAGUUGGUAAGGUACCGGCUUACCAAGGCGACGAUGCGUAGCCGACCUGAGAGGGUGAUCGGCCACCCGUGAACUGAGACACGGGCCAGGAUCCUACGGGAGGCAGCAGUAGGGAAUCUUCCGCAAUGGGCGAAAGCCUGACGGAGCAACGCCGCGUGAGUGAUGAAGGUCUUCGGAUCGGAAAACUCUGUUAUUAGGGAAGAACAAAUGUGUAAGUAACUAUGCACGUCUUGACGGUACCUAAUCAGAAAGCCACGGCUAACUACGUG
rnacentral:rRNA from 1 species